rnacentral:rRNA from 1 species
GACGAACGCUGGCGGCGUGCCUAACACAUGCAAGUCGAACGGAGUUAAGAGAGCUUGCUCUCUUAACUUAGUGGCGGACGGGUGAGUAACGCGUGAGUAACCUGCCUUUCAGAGGGGGAUAACGUUCUGAAAAGAACGCUAAUACCGCAUGACGUCAUAGGACCGCAUGGUCUAGUGAUCAAAGGAGCAAUCCGCUGAAAGAUGGACUCGCGUCCGAUUAGCUAGUUGGUGAGAUAAAGGCCCACCAAGGCGACGAUCGGUAGCCGGACUGAGAGGUUGAACGGCCACAUUGGGACUGAGACACGGCCCAG